rnacentral:tRNA from 1 species
UUCCCUGUGGCUCAGUUGGUAGAGCAUGGUGUGUGCAACACCAGGGUUGUGGGUUCGAUUCCCACGGGGGACC